rnacentral:piRNA from 1 species
UAAAGCCAUUUCGGAUUACUUGUGGUUU